GGCACACCUGCGGCCUUGGGUCAAUCAGGCAGGUGUAUUAAAGGAGUGGCGUGGCAGCGGUUCUGAUCGUUGCCCCUGCUCUAAUGCUUGCCCAGGAUUUUGCAGGACUUUCACUGCAUCCUGCGCCACUUACCUGGACACCUCCACGGCUCCCACCUGCGCACCUCUCUGCCUCAGCCUUCUGUCCUCAAGCUCCGCCCGAGCCUUUGGUAGAAGUGUGACAAAUCGCCCGAGAUCCUCGGUCUUCGCUCCUGCGCCUCGUCAUCUUCUAUUGUGAUUUCACUGUUAAUACAUAAUUUACUGUAGUGUGUUUGAGUUGGUCUGCUCCUUGGGUCCACUUUAGCUGCACAUGACAGAAUGCAACUCUCAAAUCUCUAUUUAUCCUUUUGACCUCUACUGUGAAGGAUGUUAAAUAAAUCCUGCCCUGGCAUGUUUUUUAUCAUUUUUAUUAUAAGGAGUAACCAUACACAUAAGAGCUAAGCUUAAAAUUUAUGGUUUAAACUAAAACUGCAUAUAGGAGAUUGUCUACAGUUUCCUAAUUUAGUCAUCAUCUUUGGAUUCAACACAUCAAAAUCCAUACAAAAUGGCACAUUUCAUCUCUGGUUUCUCUGUGUAGCUGAAGGAUUCAGAGACGUCUGAUCUCAAAUUUUACAAGACCGAGCAUAAAACUACAUCCAUGUACUAUAUGCACAUAGCUUUGCUGCUGUAUUCACAACACAAAUACAAAUCAUAUCAGUAAUGAAAAAAGGCCCUGAGCAGGUGAAUAUAGUACAUAUGACGGUUCGUCCACAAGGAUAAACACACCAGCAGUUCCCAGAGGACCAGGAAGCCUACAGCGAGGCCACAAAUGUGCAUGGGGGGGGCAGAGAGAUGGUUAACAGGCAUGGCAGUGAGAAAGAACAGACGCAUGCAUCCAUCACAUUUAAUGCUUAAAACGUACCUCUGAUAUUAAGGCGAUACAUUAAAAUGUUCCACUCCUGUAAAAAUCAUUUCUAUCAAGAGACAAAUCUGUCCUUCAUGUGUUUCAUGAUAAAAAGUCUCAUAACCUCGUCAUGAAUGCACCAUUUUUCAGCUGCUAAACCCACGCUGAAGAAUACUAAAGCCCCAUCAGCCACUGCGUCUGCCUUUCAGCUCUUUACUAGUACACUGGGAGUGCUGUCAUUGAAAAUGUGAUAAUGCUGUGAUGAAUGACUUCUGGAUGACGUGAAAAAUGAUCUACAAGGGAGCACUAAAGAUUUCUUUUAGCAAUGACAUGAUAAAAAUCAUAAAAAUAUACAGGAAGACUAUGCGGUGAGGCCUUAAUGACUCUCAGCAGAUAUCUGAUGGUAACAGGAAAAAGUGACUGUCAGCAUCUCCUCACAGCAGCUCAGAUUUCUUCAACACGAG